rnacentral:rRNA from 1 species
AUUGAACGCUGGCGGCAUGCUUUACACAUGCAAGUCGAACGGCAGCACGGGUGCUUGCACCUGGUGGCGAGUGGCGAACGGGUGAGUAACGCAUCGGAACGUAUCCAAUAAUGGGGGAUAACGCAUCGAAAGGUGUGAUAAUACCGCAUACGCCCUGAGGGGGAAAGUGGGGGAACGUAAGGCCUCACGUUAAUGGAGGGGCACAUGCCUGAUUAGCUAGUUGGUGAGGGAACGGCUCACCAAGGCGACGAUCAGUAGCUGGUCUGAGAGGAGGAUCAGCCACACUGGGACUGAGACACGGCCCAGACUCCUACGGGAGGCAGCAGUGGGGAAUUUUGUACAAUGGGCGCAAGCCUGAUCCAGCCAUGCCGCGUGAGUGAAGAAGGCCUUCGGGUUGUAAAGCUCUUUCGCAAGGGAAGAAAACUUAGUUCUUAAUACGAGCUGAGGAUGACGGUACCUUGAUAAGAAGCACCGGCUAACUACGUGCCAGCCGCCGCCGUAAGAC